GUUGACGAGGAAGCUAUUCUACUGCUCAAGAUAUACAUAUUGUAUUUACAAGCUUAAUUUAUUUAUUUAGUUUGCACAGUUGUGGAAGUUUGAAAAAUAAAAAUGGAAAUCAACUUUAAGGGAAAACGUGCACUGGUUACCGGUGGUGGACGAGGAAUUGGUAAAUCUAUUGCGCAAGCUUUGCUAAAAUGUGGAGCAGAAGUGAUUAUCUUGGAAAAAAAUAGAAGCGGAUUUACAGAAAUUCAAAGAAGAGGAACCAAGCAUAAUUCCAGUACAAUAUGACUCGAGUGACUGGGAAGGGACAAGAAAGGCGGUUGAAGGUGUCGGACCCGUGCAUCUUCUGGUAAACAGUGCUGGUGUCGCUGCCAUCACGCCUUUUUUGGAUGUUAAAAAGAGUGAAUAA